CCCGGAGGAGCUCUGGGCGGGGAGGGGGAGGGAAGAGGAUUGCCCCUCCGCCCUGCCCGCCCCCACGCCCCGGGCCGCCGCUUCUAAUCGUGUUGUCCCCCCAGGUGUGGCCCCCGCCCCGCCCCCCGCGGGGACCUGGGCGCGCUGUACGCCGUCUCGCCCUCCCUCCGCUUCCGCCCGUCCGCGCCUCCUCCCCCACCCGACCUCCUCACCGGAAAAAAGUAAUCUGGCUCCCGGCGAGGACGCUGCAGCGCCCGCGGCCGCCCGGCCAGCGACCCCGGCCCCGGAGGCUCGGACCGGCCCCAGGAUUGGGGUUUCUGCGCCCCAGCAGGUAAGGAGUCGCCCACGCUGGCUGGGCAUUCUGACUGCCCACGCGAUCACCCAGGACCGCGACCCACAGGACCUCCGUGUUUGUGGGAGUGGGGUCGUGAGUGGAACACACAGGCGGUUUUGCGUGGAAACCUGUCCUUUCAGAUUCCUUCUACUGUGCCCAUGCCUCCCGGGCCCAGCAUAGCGCCCACCCAUGAUGUCCCAAUAUUCCUGGUCCUGGAAGCUGAUGACCAGGGACUCUGCACGGUUCCUUCCCCGCAGAAGACUGUAGGCGACUUGAAGGGAGGAAUUUGUCUUGCCCACCCUGUAUCGCGGUGGCAUGAAGCCAUGGUCAAUGCCAGCUGCUUACCUGGAACCAGACCUGAUGUCCCUUGUCACUCUGGGUGACUGAGAACUUUUUUGGUUGUGAAGUAAAAUGAAAAUAAUUUGGGACUUCCCUGGUGGUCCAGUGGUUAAGAAUCCACCUUCCAAUGCAGGGGACGUGAUCCCUGGUCGGGGAACUAAGAUCCCACAUGCCGUGGGCUAAGUAAGCCCGUGCGUGGCAACUACUGAGCACACGGGCCACACCUAGAGAGCCUGCGCACCUCAACGAAGAUCCCAACCAAGAUCCCGCGUGCCGCAGCUAAGACCCGAUGCAGCCAAAAAUUAAAUAAAUAAAUAUUAAAAUGA